UUUUGCCUGUGGUAUCUAAUGUCCAGUCUGUUUUUGUUGCUGGAUGUUUCGUUUUGAGGGCAGAAAUAUAAAGCAGAUCUUUGCGACACAGAUAGCUUCAUUUGUAAUAAGCUUUCUGUUACACUAUCCCUGCUUACAUUU
rnacentral:snoRNA from 1 species